rfam:Aerococcus urinae ACS-120-V-Col10a, complete genome.
UGAGUGUUAUGAUGAUGGAAAGGAAGAAGUCUUUCUUUCCGAGUCUAGCUCUUUCAUCCCUAGGCAGAAGUCUAGGGAUG